ACCUUAGAGACCAACUAAGUUUGUUAUUGGUAUGAGCUUUCGUGUGCAUGCACACUGCACACGAAAGCUCAUACCAAUAACAAACUUAGUUGGUCUCUAAGGU